UACAGAGGGUGCAAGCGUUGUUCGGAAUUAUUGGGCGUAAAGGGCGCGUAGGCGGUGCGGUAAGUCUGUAGUGAAAUCUCUGGGCUCAACUCAGAGUCUGCUGCAGAAACUGCCGUGCUUGAGUGUGGGAGAGGUGAGUGGAAUUCCCGGUGUAGCGGUGAAAUGCGUAGAUAUCGGGGGGAACACCAGUGGCGAAGGCGGUUGCCUGGGGCUUUGCUGACGCUGAUGCGCGAAAGCGUGGGGAGCGAUCCGG
rnacentral:rRNA from 1 species